rnacentral:rRNA from 1 species
UACGAAGGGGGCUAGCGUUGCUCGGAAUCACUGGGCGUAAAGAGCUCGUAGGCGGUCUGUCACGUCGGAUGUGAAAACUCGGGGCUCAACCCCGAGCCUGCAUUCGAUACGGGCAGACUAGAGUUCGGUAGGGGAGACUGGAAUUCCUGGUGUAGCGGUGAAAUGCGCAGAUAUCAGGAGGAACACCGGUGGCGAAGGCGGGUCUCUGGGCCGAUACUGACGCUGAGGAGCGAAAGCGUGGGGAGCGAACAGG